ACUGCGGAAGGAUUAUU
rnacentral:rRNA from 1 species